GUGCUCACUUCGGCAGCACAUAUACUAAAAGUGGAACAAUAUGGAGAUUAGCAUGGCCACUGCCAAGGAUGACACUCAAAUCCAUGAAACGUUCCAUAUUUUU
rnacentral:snRNA from 1 species